ACGCUCGACACCUACGGGGGCAGCAGUGGGGAAUAUUGCACAAUGGGGGAAACCCUGAUGCAGCGACGCCGCGUGAGCGAAGAAGUAUUUCGGUAUGUAAAGCUCUAUCAGCAGGGAAGAAAAUGACGGUACCUGACUAAGAAGCCCCGGCUAACUACGCGCCAGCAGCCGCGGUAAUCUGAGCGGGCUGGCAAGGC
rnacentral:rRNA from 1 species